UCUAUUAGUCAGGGUCUAUCAGGAAACAGAUGGCAUGCUCAGAAUAGGAUAAUUUAACAACUCCUUUAAAAAAAAGAACUAUUUACGAAAGGUGUAGGGAAACCAAAUGGGAUAGUACAGGCUACGGGGCCAAUAAAUGACCGUGGGACUCUUACCACCGUGGGCCUGAAUGGGUAAGGACAGAGAGCGUCACGGGAGUCUGGAAGGAGACAGUCGAACGGAGAGGGUCAUUUUCAGAGGAGAUGGGCCCGUCGGCUGGGGGCCUUAGCCAGCCUGAGUGACCCUGCGAGAAGGGAGCCAAAGGAAUGACUACUCCAGCCUCAGCCUCCUUCUUCUCUGGGAUCUUGUGCUGCACCCUCACCCAACCCCCACCUCCCUCGCCGACCCAACCCCAUCAGGAGCCUCGUAAUGUAGUACAGAACGUAAGCUCCAGAAGAAUAGAAAUAUGUGUCAGUUCUGUUCAUCGAUGAAGCCCAAGUGCCUAGAACCAUGCCUGGAACACGGCUCCCCCUCAAUACGUGUUUCCUGAUUGAACGGAUGGACCUCUUCACCGCUGGCGCCAGGCGUGCAGACCGUGUCAUACCAGCAUUGCCCAGCAGAUGGCAGCCGAUUCACGCCAGAGACAGCUGGGAGCCUGCACUCUUGAACUCCAGGUUCCUCCCAAUUAAAUCCAAAAUAACAACCCAGGAGACAAAAAUCCGGUUUAAUUUACUCUUAAUGCAGCCUUGUAUUUGUGAGAAAGAAGUUGUAGGUAGAGGGUGAGCUGCUGAGCUGAUAAAGCGUUUAUCUAAUACGAGAGACUGUUUACCCACAAUUCAAGGGUAAAAAAAUGAAAACAGCUGUCGAGAAGAACCAAGCAAGGUCAGAGUCCUCCCACGGUGGGGGAAAAUGGGGGCGAGGAAGGUUUGUGGCCCCGGAUCUACAUCCCUCCUCCAAAGGAUGGAAAAGUGACGCUGGACCACUACAACCGAGGGAAAGAAGGAACGCUAGAAAUUAACACGGCACCUGGGGAGUGGAAGUUUCCCGGCUUCCUCAGAACGCGCCAGAAGACGCUCUGUUACAAGAACCUUGGGUCUCGCUCUGCAAUACCGUCCUCUGGGCCCCCGCCAAGCCGCCCUCUUCCUGGGUGCUUCCGUCACUCGUGCCAUCAGGGAGACGAGUUGCAGCCGUAACCAAGUCUUCAGAAGCCAAGAUCAGGUGCUCCUGCCUUUGACCAGAUUCAGCCUUUGAGUGAGUCAGGUUAGGGGGAGGCUCCCAGGCAGACACUGCUUGUGAAUCUGCGUCUCCUGACCCAGAACUAUCCAAGCCAGCUGGUCAACCCGGAUGCCGCUACAGUGAGGAGGAGAGAUGCAUGUACUGGGUGCUCCCCGUGCGCCAGGCAUGCGCGGAGGGCACCGCCUGCAUGAUCUCAUUAGCCCUCCGAGCAGCUCUCUGAAGCCCAUGCUGUCCUCGUCCCCAUCUCACAGAUGGCACAAGAGAGACACCGCUUGCCCAAGGACCCAGUGAGUUGCUCUCCAGCUCACUCUCAGCCACUGAGAGGGGGGCAUCUGCUGAGAUGCACUGUGGAUCCUGACGAACUUCAGAGAACAGUUGAUGCAGCCCCUUCCGUUCGCAGAUGGGGAAGCUGAGGCCCAGAGAGGGGGAGGGAGCCGCCCAAGUUCACUCGGAGAACUGAGAAGCCCACCCACGCUUCUAUGCACCAAGAAGUAUCCUGCACCUUAACAUCCCUGACUCGUGUUGGGAGGCCACCCCAAUAACCAAGUCGCAGGCUUUUAUUUUGCGCUCGCAGAUUCCAAAUUGGCCUCAGUCCCUGCUGGCACUACGCACUUCUGCAUAAGCUCUUGUCAAAACAACAACACAUCUCAGUUUAAGAGUUUCAUCAAAUUUAGGAGCCUCCCCAGCCAGGCGCACUGGCCUCUCGUGAUGUGAAUUCUGGCUUCUGUGGCUCGUUGGCCGAUGUUCUUGGUCAAGCCACUCAACCGCUGAGCCG